rnacentral:rRNA from 1 species
AACGAACGCUGGCGGCAUGCCUAACACAUGCAAGUCGAACGAGACCUUCGGUUCUAGUGGCGCACGGGUGCGUAACGCGUGGUAACCUGCCCUUAGGUUCGGAAUAACUCCCCGAAAGGGGUUCUAAUACCUGAUAAUGUCUUCGGACCAAAGAUUUAUCGCCUUUGGAUGGGCCCGCGUUGGAUUAGCUAGUUGGUAGGGUAAAAGCCUACCAAGGCGACGAUCCAUAGCUGGUCUGAGAGGAUGAUCAGCCACACUGGGACUGAGACACGGCCCAGACUCCUACGGGAGGCAGCAGUGGGGAAUAUUGGAAAAUGGGCGAAAGCCUGAUCCAGCAAUGCCGCGUGAGUGAUGAAGGCCUUAGGGUUGUAAAGCUCUUUUACCCGGGAUGAUAAUGACAGUACCGGGAGAAUAAGCUCCGGCUAACUCCGUG